rnacentral:lncRNA from 1 species
UAACACUUCUAUACCUUUUAGCGACACAAUCAACUUAUCUUUACUACUCACCUUCUUUCCUUUUUACAACAGCAAACUUCAAUCGUAAAAAGAAAAAAAACUUUUAUCUUAUUCAGCUGGUAACAGUCAACAUCCUCUAAUUCUUAGUCGAUCAACACAACUCAGCAACUUGAAUUUUCCACAGUUCAAACACACAGAUCUUCUUCGUUGUUCUAUAUCUCUGCAACUCGGACUUAAAUCCAGAUCUGAAUACAAACAAUGACAACUGACAAAACUCUCCUAUUCAAAGAGAUUUUUUAUCACAGUCGAGACUUUAAUCUUCGUUGAACAACAUCUGAAAUUCAGAACAUAUUCAAUUGUAAAUCAGACUCAGACACAGUUCUAACAACAAAAUCUGAAUCAAUUAUCUCAGAUUCAAUCGUAAACAACAAUAUUCAGUCCUCUUCGUCAGUUCAGAUCUACUCGAAUCAACCGAACCGGCAACUUCACAUAUAUUAACAGAGCAAAAUAGAGAGAGGGACGAGACAUGGGUGGGAUUUGUGAUCUAUUGAUUGUGAGGGUGAGGUUGGGGUUGGGGUUUUUUUCAUGGCUCCGUUGAUGGUGAGGGUUAAAUUGGGGAUGGGUUGGGCUGAUGAAGAAGAUAAGGAUGGUGACCCCAUUUGAUUAAUUAAACAAUGAAAAGAUAUAAUUUUUUAAUGUUUUAAGUUAUUAUAUAUUUAAUAGUAAGGGUAGUUUUGUCAUUUCACGUCCACUUAACUGAGAAAACUAACCUCCAUCCACUCCAGGGACUAUCCGAGUAACAACUGAUCAAACCACAGGGAGCAUACAUGUAAUUUUGAAAAGGUGGGGACUAAAGGUGAAACUUUACCAAACCACAGAGAUAAAUAGAUGAUGUAUAAUGUGAUGGCCCUGAAACUACCGCGCUGAAGAAAGGAUGGGGGGUGACACAACCAACUAAAGCACCGCCGCGCUGUCAAAAAAAGGAACCGCAUCCAAUAUUUGUUUCUUUUCCUUUUUUUUGUUUAAUGUAAAGAACUUAGUAUGUAAACAACAUGUAAAGAACUUGGUAUGAAAACACUUGAACUCAACUAAACCAUGGGCGACAACCCUUU